CCUACGGGGGGCUGCAGUGGGGAAUAUUGGACAAUGGGGGGAACCCUGAUCCAGCCAUGCCGCGUGUGUGAAGAAGGCCCUCGGGUUGUAAAGCACUUUCAGUGAGGAAGAACGCCUGGUGGUUAAUACCCAUCAGGAAAGACAUCACUCACAGAAGAAGCACCGGCUAACUCCGUGCCAGCAGCCGCGGUAAUACGGAGGGUGCGAGCGUUAAUCGGAAUUACUGGGCGUAAAGCGCGCGUAGGUGGCUUGAUAAGCCGGUUGUGAAAGCCCCGGGCUCAACCUGGGAACGGCAUCCGGAACUGUCAAGCUAGAGUGCAGGAGAGGAAGGUAGAAUUCCCGGUGUAGCGGUGAAAUGCGUAGAGAUCGGGAGGAAUACCAGUGGCGAAGGCGGCCUUCUGGACUGACACUGCCACUGAGGUGCGAAAGCGUGGGUAGCAAACAGGAUUAGAUACCCUGGUAGUC
rnacentral:rRNA from 1 species